AUGUCGAUCGUGGAGCCAGACUUUCUUCGAGCGAUGCUCGUCGGGGCAGAUGGGAGUAGAAUAGAAAACAAUCCAGCUUCCAUGCUUGUAAUCUUGGUUGGGCCAGUCGUUCUACAACUUCCACGCAUCGCAUCCGCCGCUCUGUACGUGCGGUCGUGCGCAGAUCCGGAGAGCCCGCCGGCGAUGGAUCUCCCCGAAGAGCUGCUCGCCGACAUCCUGCGCCGCGUCCCGGCGCGCCACCUCGCCCCGUGCAGGCGCGUCUGUGGGUACUGGCGCGCCACCAUCGACGCCGGCAGGCUGCUCCUCCCGCACCUCCUGCUGGGCGCGCCGAGCGGCGCCUUCGUCAACAUGCCCGAGGCCUCGCGCGGCACCUACUUCUUCGCGCGCGGGGGGCCCACCGGCGGCGUCGACACCCGACUCGCCGAUGCGCCGACCAGCUGGUGCACCGCCUUCUUGGACCACUGCAACGGGCUCCUCCUGUGCGAGGCCAGCGAGGGCGCGCGCUUCGUCUACAACCCGGCCACGCGGAGGUCGGCGGUGCUGCCGCCCGCGCCGUGCUCGGAGCCCUGGGGCGUCGCUUCCGCCGCCUACCUCGUGUUCGAUCCAUUCGUGUCUCUCCACCACGAGGUGCUCCUGCUCCCCGAGCUGCCGGGCGAGCCCGAGGCCCCCGAACCCACCGACCCGCCGCCGCUGCCGCCAUUCAACGUUGCGCGGCUCUUCUUUGCGGACUCUGAGUCGUCGCCGCCGCCUCAGAUCGUCACCGACGAGGAGGACUGGUUGUCCUCGGACUCGGAGGACGAACCGCGGAAGCCUGCGAGGCCCCGUCAGCGCGAGCACAUCGAGGCCAAGGACACCUUGGGGCUUAUGGAAUAG
rnacentral:rRNA from 1 species